UACGUAGGGGCGAGCGUUGUCCGGAAUGAUUGGGCGUAAAGGGCGCGUAGGCGGCUUGUUAAGUCUGGAGUGGAAGUCCUCUUUUCAAGGGAGGAAUUGCUUUGGAAACUGGAGGGCUUGAGUGCAGGAGAGGUUAUCGGAAUUCCCGGUGUAGCGGUGAAAUGCGUAGAGAUCGGGAGGAACACCAGUGGCGAAGGCGGGUAACUGGACUGCAACUGACGCUGAGGCGCGAAAGUGUGGGGAGCAAACAGGAUUAGAUAUCCCUGUAGUCCCUGA
rnacentral:rRNA from 1 species